GGCUAAUCCUGGUCGGACAUCAGGAGGUUAGUGCAAUGGCAUAAGCCAGCUUGACUGCGAGCGUGACGGCGCGAGCAGGUGCGAAAGCAGGUCAUAGUGAUCCGGUGGUUCUGAAUGGAAGGGCCAUCGCUCAACGGAUAAAAGGUACUCCGGGGAUAACAGGCUGAUACCGCCCAAGAGUUCAUAUCGACGGCGGUGUUUGGCACCUCGAUGUCGGCUCAUCACAUCCUGGGGCUGAAGUAGGUCCCAAGGGUAUGGCUGUUCGCCAUUUAAAGUGGUACGCGAGCUGGGUUUAGAACGUCGUGAG
rnacentral:rRNA from 1 species